GACGAACGCUGGCGGCGUGCCUAAUACAUGCAAGUCGAACGCAGUUGCGAACGGGUGAGUAACGCGUAGGUAACUGCCUCAUAGCGGGGGAUAACUAUUGGAAACGAUAGCUAAUACCGCAUACUGUGAGAUGGACCUGCGUUGUAUUAGCUAGUUGGUGAGGUAAAGGCUCACCAAGGCGACGAUACAUAGCCGAGCUGAGAGGGGGGUCGGCCAAACUGGAACCGAGAGCCGGGCCAGACACCUACGGGAGGCAGGAGUAGGGAAACUUCGGAAAUGGACGGAAGUCUGAACGAGCAACGGCGCAGGAGUGAAGAAGGUUUUCGGAGCGUAAAGCUCUGUUGGUAGAGAAGCGGUAACUAAACAGAAAGGGACGGCUAACUACGUGCCAGCAGCCGCGGUAAUUC
rnacentral:rRNA from 1 species